CUCAAAUGAAUUGACGGGGGCCCGCACAAGCGGUGGAGCAUGUGGUUUAAUUCGAUGCAACGCGAAGAACCUUACCUGGUCUUGACAUCCACAGAACUUUCCAGAGAUGGAUUGGUGCCUUCGGGAACUGUGAGACAGGUGCUGCAUGGCUGUCGUCAGCUCGUGUUGUGAAAUGUUGGGUUAAGUCCCGCAACGAGCGCAACCCUUAUCCUUUGUUGCCAGCGGUUAGGCCGGGAACUCAAAGGAGACUGCCAGUGAUAAACUGGAGGAAGGUGGGGAUGACGUCAAGUCAUCAUGCCUUACGACCAGGCUACACACGUGCUACAAUGGCAUAUACAAAGAGAAGCGACCUCGCGAGAGCAAGCGGACCUCAUAAAGUAUGUCGUAGUCCGGAUUGGAGUCUGCAA
rnacentral:rRNA from 1 species